rnacentral:lncRNA from 1 species
UCAAGAGAAAAGCUUAAGAGCUGAAGUGCUGUCGAAGUUACUAUGCGAGAAGAAGAAAGUUGAAGCAAUAUGAGUUUAAGGCUAAGUUUUGUGAGUAUUUUUUUCAAAGUAUUUAAAUGAUUUUCGACUUCUUUAUACAUUCUUUCAUGAUUUGAAAUGAUGAAUUUCAAUAUAUAUGUUUCUAAAGAGAUUUACAUCGAAAAAAUUAUAUGUUUCAAAGUACGAUUUAAGUAUGAAAUGAUGUUUAAACCAUUAGUUACUUCCUAUCAAUGAGCUAACUAUUAUGUGCACAUAAUGAGUCAAGGCAACCAUGGGGUGAAAGGAGCUACAUGGUGAAGAGAAGCUAGCUAAUAGGUUGAAAGAAGCAUAUUAAGCUUAGUAGUUUGAGCAACAAGGAUAAAUCUAUAUAGUCUUGGAUGCUGAUAUUAUAGUAGUCUAAACGUGAAGUAAUGAGACCUAGCGUAGAAAAUGAUUUGGGAUCCUUGACAAAAGGAAUGCUUGGUAACUAAUGUGUGUUUAUGCAAGAUGAAACAUUUAUGCAAAAUGAUGUAUUUGUGUGAACUGAUAUAUUUUGUUUUAGAUUGCCUUGGUUCAAAGGCAGAGUAAUCGACUACCCUCCGAUGGAGGUUAUUC